UACGUAGGGUGCGAGCGUUAAUCGGAAUUACUGGGCGUAAAGCGUGCGCAGGCGGUUCGUUGUGUCGGUGGUGAAGCCCCGGGCUUAACCUGGGAAUGGCCAUGGAAACUGGCGAACUGGAGUGUGGCAGAGGGGGGUGGAAUUCCGCGUGUAGCAGUGAAAUGCGUAGAGAUGCGGAGGAACACCGAUGGCGAAGGCAGCCCCCUGGGCUAGCACUGACGCCUCAGGCACGAAAGCGUGGGGAGCAAACAGG
rnacentral:rRNA from 1 species